GACGAACGCUGGCGGCGUGCUUAACACAUGCAAGUCGAACGAAAAGAGGGAAAGAGCUUGCUCUUUCCGGAAUUGAGUGGCAAACGGGUGAGUAACACGUAAACAACCUGCCUUCAGGAUGGGGACAACAGACGGAAACGACUGCUAAUACCGAAUAAGUUCCAAGAGCCGCAUGGCCCAUGGAAGAAAAGGUGGCCUCUACCUGUAAGCUAUCGCCUGAAGAGGGGUUUGCGUCUGAUUAGCUGGUUGGAGGGGUAACGGCCCACCAAGGCGACGAUCAGGAGCCGGUCUGAGAGGAUGAACGGCCACACUGGAACUGAGACACGGUCCAGACUCCUACGGGAGGCAGCAGUGGGGAAUCUUCCGCAAUGGGCGAAAGCCUGACGGAGCAACGCCGCGUGAGUGAUGACGGCCUUCGGGUUGUAAAACUCUGUGAUCCGGGACGAAAAGGCAGAGUGCGAAGAACAAACUGCAUUGACGGUACCGGAAAAGCAAGCCACGGCUAACUACGUG
rnacentral:rRNA from 1 species